rnacentral:rRNA from 1 species
UUCCACCUCUUCCCAUUCCGAACAGAGAAGUUAAGCCUCGUCACGCCGAUGGUACUGCGUAACAGUGGGAGAGUAGGUAGCCGCCGUUUU